GACAGGCAGAUUCCCAUAAACCUUGGAUAGAAAUUCCAUGUGACAGGCACCUUGGACAGUAGCCAUAGAAGUAUUUCUGUUCCGGACUAACAUUUUAUUUAUGUAUUUAUGUAUGCAUGUAUGUAUGUAUUUAUUUAUUUAUUGACAGAGUCUCUCUCUGUCCACCAGGCUAGAGUGCAGUGGCUUGAUCUCAGCUCAUUGCAACCUCUGCCUCCCGGGUUCAAGCAAUUCUCCUGCCUCAGCCUCCCAAAUAGCUGGGAUUAUAGUGCCUACUACCAUGCUCAGCUAAUUUGGUAUUUUUAGUAGAGACAAGGUUUCAUCAUAUGGCCAGGCUGGUCUCGAACUCCUGACCUCAGGUGAUCUACCCGCCUCGGCCUCCCAAAGUGCUGGAAUUACAGGCACGAGCCACCGCGCCCGGCCCAGACUGACAUUUUAAUAACUACUCUUAGGCAAAAUAGUAAAAGGGCAAAGUCUCCCACUUUCACUCUGGGAGCUGGCUGGCUUGGGCGCUGGCUGGAACCCAGUGUCUCCACUGUCCGUGUGACCUCGGGCAGGCCCCUUCCCCCUCAGGCAGCUGCAGGCAGGUGUUGGGCUAGACCUGUGGGAUUCUGACCUGGGUUCCACAAAGCAAGCUCAAGGACUGUCCUGUGGAUGAAGACGACCCGCAGCGAAGCAGGCAGGGCUCUGCCUCCUGGGGCAAAACAUUUGCAAGUAAUAAUGCUGAAAAGAAUGUACGAGUUCCCAGUCCCCUCUCCUUCCAGUCAGUGUCCAGCCCAGCCCUUUGAACUGGGUGGUAAGCUCACUCUGGAACCAGAGACAAAGCCUAAACAGCCACUGGAAGGUCUGGGACCCACAUCAGCCCCCACAUCCACCCUGCCUUCUCACCGAAGACAUUUUUCGUGCUGCAUGCCUGGUGCAAAACGUAUUAAUGACAGCUCUGCCUAUCCCUGUAACUGGCUUCUUCUACCCAGGCAUCUCCCUUCUCCUCUACUUCACCUAGCAGGCAUCUACACCAAAGUGUGCCAGCGCUAAAAGAAACAUUUAAAAUCAAAAUUAGGUGAAGCACCACCACCGUUAUGAGAUUCUAUAGAGUCUUAUUGUUCACCCAGUUGAGAUGCUCUGCUAAAUUAGACAUGGAAAAUUGGAAUUGAUUGCUCGCAUGUGGGGCUUAAUUAAAUGCUCUAUUUUUUCUGCCUGGUAAUGUCCCAGGAGACGGGUCUACAUUGUUUUAGUCUAGCCUUGCCGAACCACCUUUCCUUUGUGCUGAUUGAAUAGGGGGGAAGUAACAAGCAAGUUACCAGGCAGUUUCUUCACCCCUGUUGGCUGAAAGGCCCCUUAUGUUACCCAGAAGCGCUUGUGUUCUCUGAGGCCAGUGGGCACGACUGUAGCCAAAGGUGGACAUCUUCCAGCCGAAGGCAAAGAGAAAACAGCCCUUCACGGCAAGCCAUUUUGUGUUGUAUUGUGGACGUGGUUGCCAGCGGUAACUGGGAAACUUUGACUCAGCAUGUUCUAGCCAGACAGAGUUGAGCCCAAGUAGUGAGCUGGGAAAGGGUGAAUUAAUUCUUCAAUGGCAUGAGAGGGAUGCAAGACUGUACUGGGGACCACUGACUCUAUUUCGAUGGCUUUAGGACUUUAGAAUAUGGUAAAACUGGAAGUCCCACUGGAAGACCGUCGAUCCGAGCAGGGAGUUUCCACGAGGGACGCAUGCACCUCUGCGGAUGACGUGCAUUUCACAGUGCAAAGUGUCCAGUGAUUCCAUCGGAUUCUCAAGGGAAUCAAUGACCCCUCCAGAAAGAUAACAAAUUCUUAAGUAAAUCAACUCCCUCAUUUUAAAAUGGAGAGAUUAAGCCCAGCGCAGUGGCUCAUGCCUGUAAUUGCAACACUGUGUGAGGCCAAGGUGGACAGAUCACUUGAGCCAAGGAGCACAAGACCAGCCUGGGCAACAUGGCAAAACCAAGUCUCCACAAAAAAUACAAACAUUAGUGGGGUGUGGUGGCGCAUGCCUGUAGUCCCAGCUACUCAGGAGGCUGAGGUGGGAGGAUCACCUGAGCCUGGGAGGUCGAGGCUGCAGUGAGUUAUGAUGGCACCACUGCACUCCAGCCUGGGCGAUGGAGUAAGACCCUGUCAAAAAAAAAAAAAAAAA
ensembl:lncRNA